rnacentral:ncRNA from 2 species
AACCGGUCGCGGGGGUCCUUCGGCGCUGCGCCGCGGGUGAGAAAAACCCUUGGAACCUGAUCCGGGUAAUGCCGGCGGAGGGAUGCGAGCAAUGUCUGAAC